CAGUAGCCGCGGGAAUACAGAGGGUGCAAGCGUUAAUCGGAAUUACUGGGCGUAAAGCGCGCGUAGGUGGUUUGUUAAGUUGGAUGUGAAAGCCCCGGGCUCAACCUGGGAACUGCAUCCAAAACUGGCAAGCUAGAGUACGGUAGAGGGUGGUGGAAUUUCCUGUGUAGCGGUGAAAUGCGUAGAUAUAGGAAGGAACACCAGUGGCGAAGGCGACCACCUGGACUGAUACUGACACUGAGGUGCGAAAGCGUGGGGAGCAAACAGGAUUAGACCCCAGUAGUCCCUGUCUCUUAUACAC
rnacentral:rRNA from 1 species